GGCGGGCUGCACAAGGAUAUAACUAACUGUCACUGUUUCAGAUUCAGUAUCUGUCACAUCACAUUCUGUAUGCAGGAAGAGCCUAUGAAUGUGGCAACGGCCACAAGGCUGUUGAGUCUGUGCCAGCUACUUGCCAUGACUUUUUUUUAGCAAGCAUACCUUAGGAAACUGAACUUCGCUUGAAACUGAAACUACCCUCCCAAAAUCAUCUCCAAGGCUUUCACCCUGUCACCCAGGCUGGCAGGCUGGAGUUCAGUGGCACAAUCAUGACUCACUGCAGCCUUGACCUCCAAGCUCAGGGUUAUUUACAGACUAAAUGAGACAGUGUAUAUCUAACAUUGCUUUGUGGAUGCUAUCAAGUGCUGGCAAAUGUGUGGGAGAAUGAAUGGAAAACUUCAUCAAUUUCUAGGAUAGUAAAUUGGUGCUGCUAUUUUGGAGAGCAAUUUGUCAGCCUUCAGGGGAAACUGAAUAUGCACAUCCUCUAAGACCCAGCAGUUUCACUUCAAAGAAAAUUUCUUAUAUGCACAGAGACUUGUACAAGGAUAUUUAUCACAGCACUGUUUGUAAUAACAAAGGGCUGGAAAUAAACCAAAUGGCCAAUGAUAAGAAUUGAUAAAUGUGGUAAAUGCCUAAAAUAGAAUGUCACACAGCAGUUAAAAAAUCAUUUAUUCACUAAUUAAGCAAAGGACAAAAAGCCUCAACAGAAAAAAAAAGACAAAAGCCUUGAAUAGUCACUUUGCCAAAUGUUCAAUACACGUACAAAAACAUGGGCAAGUUCAUUGGUUGUCAAGGAAGUUCGAAUUAAAGCCACAUUUUGCAGGUACAACACUGGCACAAGUUUAAGUCUGAUGAUACCAAGUCUUGGAGAAGGUUGAAGCUACUGGAAAACCUGCCCUCUGCUGGUGGGAGUGCAAAUUGCUCCAAGCUCUUUGGACAAUAAUUUGGCAUCCUCUAGUGAAGUUGAAGAUGUGUGUGCUUGAGACUCAGCAAUUCCCCUUUGUGACAUCAGGAUGCUCCCGCACAUAUGCUUAAGAACAUUCAUGCCAGCUUUGUUUAUAUAACAAAAACGUGGAAAUAACCCAAAUGUCUGAGGAUGGGGAAUGGACAAAUAAUGGUUCAUAGUUAUGAAAAUGAAUACACAACAGCUACAAGCAUCUACUGGAAUGAAUCUCACAUGCAUUGUGUUGUAGAAGAAUAUGUAUAAUUCCAUUUAUGUAAAGUUUAAAAGCAUGCACAACUAAAUGAUAUGUUAUUUAUGAGUAUAUGACAUAUAUGAUAAAGGCAAAGAAUAAAUAAAGUAAGGAAAGGUAAGACAAUAAGAGUUUGUGAUACUGGUUACCUAUUAUGGGGAAGGAUGUUGGGGACAGGUGGGACACCUUGGGGAUUAUCUGAUACUGGCAAUCUGACAGGUGGUAGGUCACCAGGUGUUCUUAUUAACUUCAAUACUCUAUAUAUCCUAACACUGGUAAAUCUCAAGUAUGUAAUACUGAAUGAAAAAAAAUCAAAAGUCAAAUAGUACAGUCCUAUUUGUG
rnacentral:lncRNA from 1 species